AUGGAAUGAGAGUCCUGUUGAGAAAAUGGAAGUGGUACCCAGGGUGAAAAGAGAUUAGAACAAGAUAGACUGAACACAUAUGCCUACCUCUCCAAAUCCUUUCAAUUAACAGAAUACAUAUUUUAUAAAUAAAUAAAUGCAUAUAAUGCCGGAAAACAAGAAUGACUGCCAUUAAUGUACUAGGAAUUUUGAAAGUUACCUGAAAAACAGAAAGAACUUAGGAUUGGGUUGAUAAAGGAAAUCAUAGCAGCCCAGACCACUGCUGGGAGGACUGCUGCAGAGGU
rnacentral:lncRNA from 1 species